UCUACACCACCAGGCCGGCCCCUAGUCAUUAUCACUUUUUAUGUAUGUCCCUUUUGUGUAGCAGAGGGCUGAAUAUUGCUUCAAGUGCCAUCAGAAUAUCUUUUUUCUUUUAAAAGGCAAAGAUACUCUCCUCAAACAAGCAGCUCUGAGUGAUUCAGCGAUGGUCUAGCCUCUGCCUGUGUGAAGGCCAGCUAUAGCUAUGAGAGAUGUCAUCUUACUUGACUGGUAGGUUUUUCAUGGGCAUUGAUGCCC